AAGGAGGUGAAAUAGAUUUAAGCAGCAACUCUUCCCCCUUCACUCUUUUAUCUGCUUGCGUUUGCUGAUGCCCAGGUUUCUCAAGAUGGUCGCCUUGGUUUUGGAAUACUUCGUGUUCAUGUUUUGUUCAGACUUCCUUGUUUUUUAUUUGCUUCUCAAGUUGUAAGAAACUUGAGCCUUAAGUUUGAUGACAGCAGGGGGACUAUAUUCUGUGAUACAAAUCCAUAUUGAACAGUUGCUCUUCGGCAUGAAUGGUGUUCUUUUUAGAAAUGUCCAAAACCUCAGUGAAGCAUUGGUUUGAAGGUGCUAAUGGUGAGUAGUUCUAGUUUUGUAAUGUCAUCUCACUUGAUCAAAACAUGGAACCUAUAUUCAAGAAACUGCGUACAGAGUAAAUAAUGUGCAUGGGUCCAGUACAGCCUAAUACUCAAGAGUUUUCAUCCUGACCAACCCAUUCAGGGUAGGUAUAGCUAACACCUUUAUUAUGAAGCUUUCUAAAAUCUCAGUGUUUUGAGUUAAAAAGCAGCAUAAAUAGUACUGCUGGCACCUGAGAAGUAUGGUAGGCCUUCCUCUAGGGGAGGAACUUGCUCUGUGUGGUGUGUAAAAGUGUUUGAGUUGGUAAAUUCCUUAUGAAGAAAGCAGCUGAAUUUCAUGAAGUGCUUUGGCAUCAGCUGCACACUACUCUGGCUUGUAGCUACUAUGAGUUCCAGGUGGUUCUUCGGUGUUACUUCCCAGCUGCUAACUUGUUAAGCUUGCACUUAAAUCUGAUACCUUGUGUGGGUUAGUUCUCUCAGGAUGAAGUGAAAUGAAGAGUGCUCUUCAGAGCUGGAAUGGGAUGAUACUGAAGGUAUGUUUGUUGUAGCUGUCUGAAGUGUCAAGUUCUUUCCUUUGCAGUGAGACUAGGUGAGGAGCGUGUGUAUAGCCUCAUCUUUGUAAAGAGAACUGUGAAUGUCUAAGAACUUCGUCAGGAGCUAUAGUGUGUUUGGGUCCCUCUUGGGACAGUACUGAUAUGGAAAGGCUUCUACAAAGAACAAAAUGCUCUUCAGCUUCACCUUGUUUCUGUGUUAUUUGUCAAGCCUUUCAGUCUAAUCAAUCUGUGGGCAAUCAGCCUGUUGUCAGAAAAUACAAGAUGUCAACAUCUCUAAUAAAAAUUGAUUUAAAGGUC
rnacentral:lncRNA from 1 species